AGCGGCGGACGGGUGAGUAACACGUAGGCAACCUGCCCUUUAGCCUGGGAUAACUACCGGAAACGGUAGCUAAUACCGGAUACUUUCGAUGUCUGCAUGGACGACGAACGAAAGACGGAGCAAUCUGUCACUGAAGGAUGGGCGUGCGGCGCAUAAGCUAGUUGGUGGGGUAACGGCUCACCAAGGCGACGAUGCGUAGCCGACCUGAGAGGGUGAUCGGCCACACUGGGACUGAGACACGGCCCAGACUCCUACGGGAGGCAGCAGUAGGGAAUCUUCCGCAAUGGGCGAAAGCCUGACGGAGCAACGCCGCUUGAGUGAUGAAGGUUUUCGGAUCGUAAAGCUCUGUUGCCAGGGAAGAACGUUUUCUAGAGUAACUGCUAGAGAAGUGACGGUACCUGAGAAGAAAGCCCCGGCUAACUACGUGCCAGCAGCCGCGGUAAUACGUAGGGGGCAAGCGUUGUCCGGAAUUAUUGGGCGUAAAGCGCGCGCAGGCGGUCAUGUAAGUCUGGUGUUUAAUCCCGAAGCUCAACUUCGGGUCGCAUCGGAAACUGGGUGACUUGAGUGCAGAAGAGGAGAGUGGAAUUCCACGUGUAGCGGUGAAAUGCGUAGAGAUGUGGAGGAACACCA
rnacentral:rRNA from 1 species